UACGGAGGAUGCAAGCGUUAUCCGGAUUUAUUGGGUUUAAAGGGUGCGCAGGCGGUUUGUUAAGUCAGAGGUGAAAUCCCGUUGCUCAACAACGGAACUGCCUUUGAUACUGGCAAACUUGAAUAUAGACGAAGUGGGCGGAAUAAGUCAUGUAGCGGUGAAAUGCAUAGAUAUGACUUAGAACACCGAUAGCGAAGGCAGCUCACUAGGCUAUUAUUGACGCUCAUGCACGAAAGCGUGGGGAGCGAACAGG
rnacentral:rRNA from 1 species